rnacentral:rRNA from 1 species
UACAGAGGUCUCAAGCGUUGUUCGGAUUCAUUGGGCGUAAAGGGUGCGUAGGCGGCGCGGUAAGUCGGGUGUGAAAUCUUGGAGCUUAGCUCCGAAACUGCAUUCGAUACUGCCGUGCUUGAGGACUGGAGAGGAGACUGGAAUUUACGGUGUAGCGGUGAAAUGCGUAGAUAUCGUAAGGAAGACCAGUGGCGAAGGCGGGUCUCUGGACAGUUCCCGACGCUGAGGUGCGAAAGCGUGGGGAGCAAACAGG